GUUUACACUACGCAGACCGGCUGAGUUUAGCAGAGAGAAGCAGAGAGACGUGAGCAGAGUGAGAGAGAAGCAACAAGUGACCGCUGGUCUUUUACUUGAAGAAAUCAAUUUAUUUGAAUUAUUUUGAAGUUAUGCUGGAAACUGGAGCUGGACUGGUAAACAGAAAGUACAGAAGAGCAAAAGAAAGCAAACAGGAGAGUGACAGAGCCCAGUCGGAAGCACUUCAGGAUAGCUUCUCAGAGAUGGAGAGAAGUAAAGGAGUUAAAAUGACUGAAAACAGAUGCUGGGUGGAUCCUCUUCCUCGAAACAGAUAAUGUGGCAUCGUGUCCUCCUCCAUGUCAGAGACCAGCACCGCUGCUCUUUUGGAAGCUGUGACCACGGGCCACUUGAUGAGAGCAGCAGAGAUAAGCCAUGGAUGGUGUGAGGCUCUCCAUCACAUCAGGCUUGUGCAUCCAUCAUCCCUGAUAAACGCUGACUGAAGGAUGUGGAGAAGUUUACCAACUUUCACACAGCACAACACCUGACCUGGAAUCCUUUCAGAACCACAUCCUCUUGUAUGCUGCAAAAUGCUUUUCAUUCAGCUCACCAGUGUAUGAGGCGCACACUCCUCUGGCACCGCACCCACAGGCCUGCAGCCCUGACUCUGAUGGUAACAAUAAAGGAAUACUUAGAAGACGAUUGCAAUCUGGGAAGAGACUUCCCAAAACAAGAACACUAAGACCUGAUGAUCAAAGAAGACUUGGACAUCUUCCUGGGAUUCCUCCACCACCUACAACAGAACUAGCACAAGCAUGCAUCCAACGCAGAGAAGAUUGUGCACAUGUAGGCAUAUUUUUCUUGCAUCACUUACAUGACAAACAAGAUUAAAUAUUAUAUAUCUGAUAUCUGCAGCAUAGUCUGAAUAUUGAUAAAGCAGCUUGGCUGAUCAUAAAAGAAUCGCUGUUGUUCAUCACACACAGCACAGUUUUACUUUUAGAGUAAAAUGUGACACGUAGUCACUCUAAGCUUCCUUUUGUUCCUCUGCUAACCAUCACUAUAUCUUCUCUUUCACUCUUACAGAACCUGCCUGUAUGAAAAGUGUAAAGUUGUAUCAUCAUACACCGUGUAACAGAUAUGUAAAUAAUGUGAAGAACUGUAAAUAUUGUAUAUUGAAAAUAAAACACAAGACUGUUUAAAGAA